rnacentral:misc_RNA from 1 species
ACGAAACACGGGGCGCGAGCCCUUCGUUUUUUCACACCCCGUGCACCGUGCCUUUUUUUCGCGCCUAAAUCGAGUGAAGGAUGUCAAUACACGAGAAUAUGAUGGCA